rnacentral:rRNA from 1 species
GACGAACGCUGGCGGCGUGCUUAACACAUGCAAGUCGAACGGAAAGGCCCUGCUUUUGUGGGGUGCUCGAGUGGCGAACGGGUGAGUAACACGUGAGUAACCUGCCCUUGACUUUGGGAUAACUUCAGGAAACUGGGGCUAAUACCGGAUAGGAGCUCCUGCUGCAUGGUGGGGGUUGGAAAGUUUCGGCGGUUGGGGAUGGACUCGCGGCUUAUCAGCUUGUUGGUGGGGUAGUGGCUUACCAAGGCUUUGACGGGUAGCCGGCCUGAGAGGGUGACCGGCCACAUUGGGACUGAGAUACGGGCCAGACUCCUACGGGAGGCAGCAGUGGGGAAUAUUGCACAAUGGGCGGAAGCCGGAUGCAGCAACGCCGCGUGCGGGAUGACGGCCUUCGGGUUGUAAACCGCUUUCGCCUGUGACGAAGCGUGAGUGACGGUAAUGGGUAAAGAAGCACCGGCUAACUACGUG